UUCUUAAACUUUACAUUUACAUUUUAACAUGUUAGUUCUAUAGUUUUUUAAAAUUUAAUAUUUACAAUAAUUGUUUUGAAUAUCACCGUUUUUGAUGUGCUGACCUUAUUUACGACUUAUACUUUAUGCGAAGUUUUUUGAACGCCGUUUCUUAUAUUACGACAACGCUUCUGAAGAUGACUAAUUAGUCGAAACAUGUAAAGCGGAUUUACUUAUAAUAAACCAGUAUAAAAGUACAA